UACGGAAGGCAGCAGUGGGGAAUAUUGCACAAUGGGCGAAAGCCUGAUGCAGCUAUGCCGCGUGUAUGAAGAAGGCCUUAGGGUUGUAAAGUACUUUCAUCGGGGAGGAAAAAACAAAACUAAUAAUUUUAUUUCUUGACGUUACCCGAAAAAGAAGCACCGGCUAACUCCGUGCCAGCAGCCGCGGUAAUACGGAGGGUGCUAGCGUUAAUCAGAAUUACUGGGCGUAAAGAGCACGUAGGUGGUUUUUUUAAGUCAGAUGUGAAAUCCCUGGGCUUAACCUAGGAACUGCAUUUUGAAACUGAAAUACUAGAGUAUCGUAGAGGGAGGUAGAAUUCUAGGUGUAGCGGUGAAAUGCGUAGAUAUCUGGAGGAAUACCUGUGGCGAAAGCGGCCUCCUAAACGAAUACUGACACUGAGGUGCGAAAGCGUGGGGAGCAAACGAGGGAUUAGACUACC
rnacentral:rRNA from 1 species